rnacentral:misc_RNA from 1 species
GAUGAAGAACGCAGCGAAAUGCGAUAAGUAGUGUGAAUUGCAGAAUUCAGUGAAUCAUCGAAUCUUUGAACGCACAUUGCGCCUCCUGGUAUUCCGGGAGGCAUGCCUGUUCGAGCGUCAUCAAAAACCUCAACCCAUGAUUUAUUGUGAGUUGGUUGUGCAUUGGACUCCUUGUGGGUCCUUUGCGAAAUCCAAUGGCGAAGAGCCACGCAACCAAAGCGUAGUAUAACUAUUUCGUUAUGGAAGCGUGGGUGCCUCUGCCGUAACCCCCAAUUUCUUAGUUUUUGACCUCGGAUCAGGUAGGGAUACCCGCUGAACUUAAGCAUAUCAAUAAGCGGAGGA